rnacentral:lncRNA from 1 species
UUUAUGUGUAUUAGGGACUCCCUUGCACGAGUACAAGGUCCCUUUUAGCUUGAUCUAGGCUUAAUACCCUAUUACAGCAUGAAAUCCCCUAUUUUCCACCCGGAUGAACAGUAAUCCGGACCGACAGCCGGUUACUUCAUCCCGGGUUUGAUCCACUUUCAGGACUCCAAAUUUGAUGAAAUUUUUACCUAACAUUCUACACUCAUAGGGAAUUCUAAAGAGGUAACAUGCAUUGCUAUCGGAGGUCGUUUGACCCCCUAAAUAAUUCGCCGAAGUUGGGACUUCGACACAGUUUUUUCGUAGUGCCGGAAAAAUUUGUCAAAAUCCGAUUCUUCUUCUUUUAACCGCCUCUACAACCCUUAUCCGACCCUUCUAGACUAUAUUCACCCUUUGUAUAGCCUAAUGUCAUCAAAAGACUAGAUAGGGAUGGAUAUUUAACUUUUUCUUUUUGGAAAAUCAAGGUCCUUGCGUAGAGGGGAAGGAGAUCUAUGUUUUUCCCUUCAGCUGGAAGUGCAACCGAGAUUCCUUUCCCUUUCUUUUUCUUCUUCUUCUUCCUCUUCCUU